UACGGAGGGUGCAAGCGUUGUCCGGAAUCACUGGGCGUAAAGGGCGCGUAGGCGGCUCAUGAAGGCUGUGGUGAAAGUCCGGGGCUCAACCUCGGAUCGGCCGUGGCGACUCGUGGGCUGGAGCACUGUAGAGGCGGGUGGAAUUCCGGGUGUAGCGGUGGAAUGCGUAGAGAUCCGGAAGAACACCAGUGGCGAAGGGCGGCCCGCUGGGCAGUGGCUGACGCUGAGGCGCGACAGCGUGGGGAGCAAACGAGGAU
rnacentral:rRNA from 1 species